AGAAUAAGCACCGGCAAACUCUGUGCCAGCAGCCGCGGUAAUACAGAGGGUGCGAGCGUUAAUCGGAAUUACUGGGCGUAAAGGGCGCGUAGGCGGUUAUGCAAGUGUGAUGUGAAAGCCCUGGGCUUAACCUAGGAAGAGCAUCGCAAACGACGUAACUGGAGUACAAGAGAGGGUGGCGGAAUUUCCGGUGUAGCGGUGAAAUGCGUAGAGAUCGGAAGGAACGUCAAUGGCGAAGGCAGCCACCUGGCUUGAUACUGACGCUGAGGCGCGAAAGCGUGGGGAGCGAACAGGAUUAGAUACCCUGGUAGUCCACGCUGUAAACGAUGAGGACUAGAUGUUGGUAGGGGAACCUAUCAGUAUCGAAGCUAACGUGAUAAGUCUUCCGCCUGGGAAGUACGGCCGCAAGGUUGAAACUCAAAGGAAUUGACGGGGGCCCGCACAAGCGGUGGAGCAUGUGGUUUAAUUCGAUGCAACGCGAAGAACCUUACCUACCCUUGACAUCCUGCGAAUCUGGCUUAGAGGCUAGAGUGCCGAAAGGAGCGCAGAGACAGGUGCUGCAUGGCUGUCGUCAGCUCGUGUUGUGAGAUGUUGGGUUAAGUCCCGUAACGAGCGCAACCCUUGUCCUUAGUUGCCAUCAUUUAGUUGGGGACUCUAAGGAGACUGCCGGUGAUGAACCGGAGGAAGGCGGGGACGACGUCAAGUCAUCAUGGCCUUUAUGGGUAGGGCCACACACGUGCUACAAUGGGGCGUACAGAGAGUAGCCAACCAGCGAUGGGGAGCCAAUCUCAGAAAGCGUCUCGUAGUCCGGAUUGGAGUCUGCAACUCGACUCCAUGAAGUUGGAAUCGCUAGUAAUCGCGAAUCAGCAUUGUCGCGGUGAAUAUGUUCCCGGGCCUUGUACACACCGCCCGUCACGUCAUGGGAGUGGAUGGUACCAGAAGCGCGUAGUCUAACCGCAAGGAAGACGCCUGCCACGGUAUAUCAU
rnacentral:rRNA from 1 species